rnacentral:rRNA from 1 species
UUUCGACAGGCUUAACACAUGCAAGUCGAGGGGCAGCACAGGUAGCAAUACCGGGUGGCGACCGGCGCACGGGUGAGUAACGCGUAUGCAACUUACCUAUCAGAGGGGGAUAACCCGGCGAAAGUCGGACUAAUACCGCAUGAAGCAGGGGCCCCGCAUGGGGAUAUUUGCUAAAGACUCAUCGCUGAUAGAUAGGCAUGCGUUCCAUUAGGCAGUUGGCGGGGUAACGGCCCACCAAACCGACGAUGGAUAGGGGUUCUGAGAGGAAGGUCCCCCACAUUGGUACUGAGACACGGACCAAACUCCUACGGGAGGCAGCAGUGAGGAAUAUUGGUCAAUGGCCGAGAGGCUGAACCAGCCAAGUCGCGUGAGGGAUGAAGGUUCUAUGGAUCGUAAACCUCUUUUAUAAGGGAAUAAAGUGCGGGACGUGUCCCGUUUUGUAUGUACCUUAUGAAUAAGGAUCGGCUAACUCCGUGCCAGCAGCCGCGGUAAUACGGAGGAUCCGAGCGUUAUCCGGAUUUAUUGGGUUUAAAGGGUGCGUAGGCGGCCUUUUAAGUCAGCGGUGAAAGUCUGUGGCUCAACCAUAGAAUUGCCGUUGAAACUGGGGGGCUUGAGUAUGUUUGAGGCAGGCGGAAUGCGUGGUGUAGCGGUGAAAUGCAUAGAUAUCACGCAGAACCCCGAUUGCGAAGGCAGCCUGCCAAGCCAUUACUGACGCUGAUGCACGAAAGCGUGGGGAUCAAACAGGAUUAGAUACCCUGGUAGUCCACGCAGUAAACGAUGAUCACUAGCUGUUUGCGAUACACUGUAAGCGGCACAGCGAAAGCGUUAAGUGAUCCACCUGGGGAGUACGCCGGCAACGGUGAAACUCAAAGGAAUUGACGGGGGCCCGCACAAGCGGAGGAACAUGUGGUUUAAUUCGAUGAUACGCGAGGAACCUUACCCGGGUUUGAACGCAUUCGGACCGAGGUGGAAACACCUUUUCUAGCAAUAGCCGUUUGCGAGGUGCUGCAUGGUUGUCGUCAGCUCGUGCCGUGAGGUGUCGGCUUAAGUGCCAUAACGAGCGCAACCCUUGCCACUAGUUACUAACAGGUGAUGCUGAGGACUCUGGUGGGACUGCCAGCGUAAGCUGCGAGGAAGGCGGGGAUGACGUCAAAUCAGCACGGCCCUUACAUCCGGGGCGACACACGUGUUACAAUGGCGUGGACAAAGGGAGGCCACCUGGCGACAGGGAGCGAAUCCCCAAACCACGUCUCAGUUCGGAUCGGAGUCUGCAACCCGACUCCGUGAAGCUGGAUUCGCUAGUAAUCGCGCAUCAGCCAUGGCGCGGUGAAUACGUUCCCGGGCCUUGUACACACCGUCCGUCAAGCCAUGGGAGCCGGGGGUACCUGAAGUCCGUAACCGAAAGGAUCGGCCUAGGGUAAAACUGGUGACUG